UCCUAUGGGCGGGCCGUGGUGAGUGGGUCGCAAGGCUCGCCGGUUUCGUUUUGUUGCCCGGUCUCUCAAACUCGCUACGUGCCCGCUCACCCCG
rfam:Burkholderia sp. ST111 contig_2, whole genome shotgun sequence.